rnacentral:rRNA from 1 species
AAUAGAUACCCCGGUAGUCCUAGCUAUAAACGAUGCAUACUAGGUGUAGGAGGGCUCAACCCUUUCUGUACCGGAGCUAACGCAUUAAGUAUGCCGCCUGGGGAGUAUGGCCGCAAGGCUAAAACUCAAAGGAAUUGACGGGGGCCCGCACAAGCGGCGGAGCAUGUGGCUUAAUUCGACGCAACGCGAAGAACCUUACCAAGGCUUGACAUGCAGGGAAAUCUCGUAGAGAUACGGGGUCCGCAAGGGCUCUGCACAGGUGGUGCAUGGUUGUCGUCAGCUCGUGUCGUGAGAUGUUGGGUUAAGUCCCGCAACGAGCGCAACCCUUGUCCUAUGUUGCCAGCGAGUAAUGUCGGGGACUCAUAGGAGACUGCCGGGGUCAACUCGGAGGAAGGUGGGGAUGACGUCAAAUCAUCAUGCCCCUUAUGUCUUGGGCUGCACACAUGCUACAAUGGUCGGUACAAAGGGCUGCGAGACCGCAAGGUGGAGCGAAUCCCGAAAAAGCCGGCCUCAGUUCGGAUUGGGGUCG